AGAAUCACCGACACCACGUCCAGCUGAUAACACAACUAAUGUUUUGAAUGUUAGUGGCACAAAUAUAAAAUUAGAUUUUGGUUCUUUUUAUCCAAACCACAGUCAAGACGCCUUCAACAAUACCAAAGAAGAAAAUGUCACAGAGGUCCCAGCAGGUGAGAGGUCCCAAUCAUCAGCAGGCCUGCUGAGUGUAGCCUUAGACAACAACAGCGACUCCUUCAGAAAUGUUACUGUUACUACAGUGGAAAGUGACUGGAUAUCACCUCACCCAGAUUACCAAAGUGACAACCUGACUGAAAUCGACCCAGAAAAUGUUACAGAAGCACCAAUGAAUUUAUUAGCAGAAUCACCAACAGCACAUCCAUCUGAAAACCUCAUAGAUGCUUUGAAUGUCUCUGACUCUGAGAAACUGGACAAUAAGACAGAAUCAGAAUCACCAACAGAUGGUCCAGCUGCAAACACCAGAGGAGACACAAAACCAUUUAUGAACAACUUUAAUGAUGCCAACACUGAAAAUGUUACAAAUGGACCAGUACAAUUAUUACCAGCUCCACCUGAUGCAGAUUUAAACAGUGACUCCUCUAAUGGCAGCGAGACCUUCAUUAAAGCAACUCUGAAAACUGAAUCACCAACAGCGUAUCCUCUUCAGAAAGCCACCACAGAUGCUUUGAAUGUCUCUGAAUCUGAGAAACAUCUGAGCAUGAAAGUGAAAACUGGUAAAUCAACCAAGACUGCAAAAGUCUUGAGCCAGCUCAAGACUUUUGCACAGUGCUGUAUGAAAAUAGGAUCAUAACCAGGAACUGUUCUUUAGAAAUAGGUGGAGAAACUACUUGCUUUGGGUAUCACUACAGAAGGUGACACUAGUUUAAAAGAGAGAGACAACAACAAGUUUACAGCUUUCCUUUGUUGCAACUAAAAGCAUUCUACAGAACUUCAUUAAUAUUUAUGUGUAACACCCAUCCCACGUUCUAUUGAGAGGGGCCCUGGGUUCCUGUUGUUACUUUCCUAUUGAUACUCCCUUUUUAAUCAGAAUCAGAAUACUUUAUUGAUCCCUGGGGGGAAUUAUUUUUUGUUACAGUGCUCCAUUUUAAACCAACAUUAAGACAAGACAGACAAUACGCUAACUAAGAAUAGUACAAUAUAUACAUAUA
ensembl:lncRNA